UACGAAGGGUCCAAGCGUUAUCCGGAUUUAUUGGGUUUAAAGGGUGCGCAGGCGGGGCCUUAAGUCAGUGGUGAAAUCUCGUAGCUCAACUACGAAACUGCCAUUGAUACUGAGGUUCUUGAAUGUAGUUGACGUUAGUGGAAUGUGUCAUGUAGCGGUGAAAUGCUUAGAUAUGACACAGAACACCGAUCGCGAAGGCAGCUAACGAAGCUAUUAUUGACGCUCAGGCACGACAGCAUGGGGAGCAAACAGG
rnacentral:rRNA from 1 species